ensembl:lncRNA
CCACUAAGUCAUCUCAGGCAUGAACACUUCUUUGAGUAUUUAACAAGUCCUCUGCAAUGAAAAGUUAGACUGUUAAGGAAAUACUUUUAGAGUUCUAUGCAUGCAUGUGUGUGUGUAUACAUGUGUAUGUGUGUGUGUGUAUGUUAAAUAUGAGUUAGAGUGCUGUCUACAGUUAAGUGAGAGGAUUGAAAAAUGAGCUGAGGGGUUAUCGCUAAAAUAAUAGUUGUCCACUUCACCAGUCCACCUAGAGCCAACCUUGGCUCACACGCUUUUACAAUAAAGUAAGUAGGUCACAGAUAGAAAGAUGGGGAAGGACACUUCUUGGCUGUGGCUUCGAUCUUUGCCAUUUGGGCAGUGAAGACCAGGCUAGCAAGGAUUCUCUCAUUGAACAUUCUAUGUCUCCAACUACAGCAGUCCACUGUACUUUCUUUAUUUUUUGGUAUUUGUGUGUGUGUGCACGCUAAGUUGCUUCAGUAGUGUCCAACUCUGUGUGACCCUCAGCAGUAGUAUAUAUCUAGAAGUGGGAUUGCUCGUGAGGUAUGCAUAUGUUUAGCUUUAGUACAUAUUUUUUGCCAAAGUUUUUCAAAGUGGUUGUGCUGAUUUCCACUCCCUCAAGCAGUGUAUGGCAUCAUUUAUCUUUCCCAUCUUAGCUAUUCUGAUGGGUGUUGUUCUGUAAUGUUUUUAUUCAUCUUCUAUGACAUCAUAGCUUAUGUUUCAUAGUAGUUGUUCUAAAUCUUGUUCACUUAUUCACUUAUUUAUUAAAAUAAAUAUUUAUUGAGCACUCUGUGUAGCAGGUACUGUGCCUGUUCCUGGGACUCAGUCCCAUGCCCACUCUCCUUCCCUUCUCUAGAUAAGUUAAUGCAUGGUGCACAAAUUUCCUUGAAAAUUCAGAGUGUUUCUAGUUUAAUGCCAUCUCUCCAUCUCCAUAUACUUCUGUAACUUUAGUUUAUCUCUUUUCUCUUUAUUUUUCAUUUUUCAAAAGAAAUAGAUAUCGCUUCCAUAUUUGCCAAAGCAAGCAUUCCACCUAUCUCUUGGACCUACUCUUUCUAACAUUCAUCAGGACCUUGUUCCAGUCACUAUUAACCCUUGACUUGACACCAAAUCUUUAAUCUCUACAUCUGC